AGAUUGAACGCUGGCGGCAUGCCUUACACAUGCAAGUCGAACGGCAGCACGGACUUCGGUCUGGUGGCGAGUGGCGAACGGGUGAGUAAUAUAUCGGAACGUACCCUGGAGUGGGGGAUAACGCAGCGAAAGUUGCGCUAAUACCGCAUACGAUCUACGGAUGAAAGCGGGGGAUUCGCAAGAACCUCAUGCUCGUGGAGCGGCCGAUAUCUGAUUAGCUAGUUGGUAGGGUAAAAGCCUACCAAGGCAUCGAUCAGUAGCUGGUCUGAGAGGACACCAGCCACACUGGGACUGAGACACGGCCCAGACCUCCUACGGGAGCAGCAGGUAGGGGUAAUUUGGAACAAGUGGGGCCAACCCGUGA
rnacentral:rRNA from 1 species